rnacentral:rRNA from 1 species
GACGAACCGUCCGAACGUUAUUCGGUAUCACUGGGCUUAAAGAGUUCGUAGGCGGCCCGACAGGUGAGGUGUGAAAUCCCUCGGCUCAACCGAGGAACUGCGCUUCAAACCGUCAGGCUUGAGGGAGACAGAGGUAGGCGGAACAGAUGGUGGAGCGGUGAAAUGCGUUGAUAUCAUCUGGAACACCGGUGGCGAAAGCGGCCUACUGGGUCUUUUCUGACGCUGAGGAACGAAAGCUAGGGUAGCGAACGGG